CAGCUUUCCACAGCUUCGUCCACAGUCCGUUAUGACAAAUAUGAGGACAAUGAUACCAGCUGGGUCCAGUGUCCUAGUCUGGGUGACCUGUCUGCUCCUGGCAUUUGUUACCACAGUCACUGGACCCAAAGUCAUUCAGCCUGAAGUGGAUACCCCCCUGGGUCGUGUUCGAGGCCGGCAGGUGGGUGUGAAGGACACAGACCGCAUGGUAAAUGUCUUCCUGGGCAUCCCCUUUGCUCAAGCACCAGUGGGACCUCUUCGGUUCUCAGCUCCACUCCCACCACAGCCCUGGGAAGGUGUGAGAGAUGCCAGCAUCAAUCCCCCAAUGUGCCUUCAGGAUGUAGAGAAAAUGAUCAACAGCAGAUUUGGCCUCAAUGAAAAGAUUAAAAUCUUCCCCAUUUCUGAGGACUGCCUGACCCUCAACAUCUACAGCCCCACUGAGAUCACUGCAGGGGACAAAAGGCCGGUCAUGGUAUGGAUCCACGGAGGCUCUCUGCUGGUUGGCUCCUCCACAUCUCAGGAUGGAUCAGCACUGGCCGCGUACGGGGAUGUGGUAGUUGUCACUGUCCAGUAUCGCCUUGGGAUCUUUGGCUUCCUCAGCACUGGAGACAAGCACAUGCCAGGCAACAGGGGAUUCCUGGAUGUGGUGGCUGCUCUUCGCUGGGUCCAGGGGAACAUAGCCCCCUUUGGGGGUGAUCCCAACUGUGUCACUAUCUUCGGUAACUCUGCUGGAGGCAUGAUUGUCUCAUCCCUGUUCCUGUCUCCAAUAUCUGCUGGGCUCUUCCACAGAGCCAUAUCCCAGAGUGGGAUUGUCACGACCAUUAUGAUGGAAGACAUGAAACCAUGGCCUGAAGCUCAGAACUUUGCCAAUUCUGUGGCCUGUGGCUCUGCAUCCCCAGCUGAGCUGGUCCAGUGUUUGCUGCAGAAGGAAGGAAAGGACCUUAUCAAGCAGAAAAACGUGAACAUUUCCUACAUAGUCAAUGACUCCUUCUUCCCACAAAGGCCAGAGAAGCUCCUAGCAGACCAGCAAUUCCCCACUGUGCCCUACCUUUUGGGAGUCACCAACCAUGAAUUUGGCUGGCUUCUACUCAAAGAACAUCCUCUUCCUCAAGCCUGAAGGUGAAGGAGAGUGAUUAAGCUAUCCAAUCUCCACAGUCCUUGAAUAUCCUGGAUAAGUUGGAACAUCUGAGCCGGGAAGACCUGUUGGAGAUUUCACGGCCCUUCUUGGCCAUUAUGGAAGUGCCCCCUGAGAUCAUGCCCACUGUCAUCGAUGAAUACCUAGACAAUGGCUCAGAUCAAUCAGCUACAAGGUAUGCCUUCCAGGAAUUGCUGGGUGAUAUCUCGUUCAUCAUUCCUACCUUGAACUUCUCAAAAUACCUUCGAGAUGCUGGGUGCCCUGUUUUCUUGUACGAGUUCCAGCAUACACCCAGUUCUUUUGCAAAGUUCAAGCCAGCCUGGGUGAAGGCUGACCAUGCGUCUGAGAAUUCCUUUGUUUUUGGAGGUCCUUUCCUCACUGAUGAGAGUUCCCUUCUGGCCUUCCCAGAGGCCACAGAGGAAGAGAAGCAGCUGAGCCUGACCAUGAUGGCCCAAUGGAGCCAGUUUGCACGCACAGGAAACCCCAAUGGCAAGGGGCUGCCUCCUUGGCCCCAAUUAAACCAGUUAGAACAAUACUUGGAGAUUGGUCUAGAAUCACGGACUGGGGUGAAGCUAAAGAAGGGUCGGCUACAGUUCUGGACAGAGACACUGCCAAGAAAAAUUCAAGAAUGGCACCGAGAGCAGAGAAGCAGGAAAGUUCCAGAGGAGCUCUGAGGCCAGACCUACCUAGACCUUACUGACUGGGCCAACCCAAGAAUAGUGGCACCCAAGCAGGGCAACUACAACUUCUUUUUGUUUCUGUUCAGAGACUUUAGCCUGGACCACGCUGCUGUGAGCCCAUGUUUCUUAAAUCAUCGGCCCCUGCAAGACCAGUAUGGUGAACCACUAAAUGUUAUCAAUCUGGUUUCUACUUCUUGAUCAUUGAACAUACUGCUGUUUCUUCCUAAAGUGACUUGAACCCUUGCUGUAUGGCAAGGUCCAGCACAUUAAUAAAGCUCUUCAGAGGAUCUGUUCUCUUGAGAAACCUCCUCUGCCUUCUCUAAGCUGCAUGCAUCCAUUAGAACCUGGUCUACCACAAGCUCAGACUGUCCAUGUCUGAGUCUUUGUCUUUCUCACUGAAGGUCUUUGAAAAUAAAAGCAGACUAUCGAAGAAAGAUAAGGCAGGACCUAGAGGCAAGGAGUGACAUACAGAAUCUAUGACUGGUGGAUCUGUGGAUUCUAGAUUUGAACCUAGACCCUUCAGGCACCAUGAUAAUGAUCCAUCCCCCAUGGAUGUCCACCAUGACCAGGAAGUUGACCUCCAAAUGCAGAGUUCUGGUGACGUGGAAAUAUUAUGACACAGGAAUCUCUAGAUUAUAAUAAACCUUAUUGCUAGCCAGGA